rnacentral:rRNA from 1 species
CCUACGGGAGGCAGCAGUGAGGAAUAUUGGGCAAUGGGGGCGAGCCGGAACCAGCCAAGUAGCGUGAAGGAUGAAGGGCCUACGGGUGGUAAACUUCAUUUAUAAAGGAAUAAAGUGCGGCACGUGUGCCUUUUUGCAUGUACCUUAUGAAUAAGGAUCGGCUAACUCCGUGCCAGCAGCCGCGGUAAUACGGAGGAACCGAGCGUUAUCCGGAUUUAUUGGGUUUAAAGGGAGCGUAGAUGGGUUGUUAAGUCAGUUGUGAAAGUUUGCGGCUCAACCGUAAAAUUGCACUUGAGACUGGCAGCCUUGAGUACAGUUGAGGUAGGCGGAAUUCGUGGUGUAGCGGUGAAAUGCUUAGAUAUCA